CGCAAACUUUCUUUUCGAUAUGAACUCUAAAAAAAAAUUACGCUGUUAUCCCUAAGGUAAUUUAAUCUUAUAAUCAUAAAAAUAUGGAUCAUUUAUUCAUAUAUCAAUGUUUUAAUAUAAAAAAAGUUAAUUAAAUUUUUUAGUUGCCCCAACUAAAUAUUUAUACUUAUAUUUAAAUCUAUAAUACUUAAACUUUUAAAUAUAAAUAUUAAUAUAAAAUUCUAUAGGGUCUUCUCGUCUUUUAAAAUUAUUUAAGCUUUUUAACUCAAAAAUAAAAUUCUAAUUUAAAUUAAACUGAGACAGUUUUUUCCUCGUCAAACCUUUCAUACCAGUUCUCAAUCAAAAAACUAAUUAUUAUGCUACCUUUGCACGGUCAAAAUACCGCGGCCAUUUAAAAUUUAAUUCAUAGGGCAGGUCAGACUUUAUAUUAUAAUCAAAAAGACAU
rnacentral:rRNA from 1 species